CAUGCAGACGAUCACGCUCAUUCUCGUAAGCAGGCGCACACGCGAGGCGGUCUAACGACCGUCCGGCUCCUGCCACGUGUGCGCAUCCCAAGGCCCCUCGAAGGGCCUUUUUUAUUGCCUGAA
rfam:Aureimonas sp. Leaf324 contig_5, whole genome shotgun sequence.